UGCUUCGUGACAUCGGCUGUAUUGCGUGUUUUCGCCGACGGCUUACUACCACAAUGGCGGGAUCUGCGUUCACCGCCUUCGCGUCUCGGUGCGUCUUUGUGCGUACGUCGCACGUUCGGAUAACACUUUUUCCGACGGCUGGACAUCCUUCUUGUACCUUGGCGCUAGCUGGAUGACGGGACCUCAUCAUGAUCAGUGUAUUGCUUUCCUAUGUCUACAAGAACCAUCAUGCGUGGCCUGUGACAGCAAGCAUUUGUGGGCAGCCAGUGCUCUCCUACGAAGGCUGGCCUACUCUGGCAGCGGCGGCAAUCAUCUUCAAGAUUUAUCCAUGAUCACCCUUGCUGCUAUUUGUCACUCUUGUUAAUUACACUUUCUGCAUCUUUUCUAAUUUAUUAGGUAAUAAAGUAUGAGUAUGUGA